AGCGAACGCUGGCGGCAGGCCUAACACAUGCAAGUCGAACGAAGUCUUCGGACUUAGUGGCGGACGGGUGAGUAACACGUGGGAACGUACCUUUUGGUUCGGAACAACUCAGGGAAACUUGAGCUAAUACCGGAUGAGCCCUUAGGGGGAAAGAUUUAUCGCCGAAAGAGCGGCCCGCGUUAGAUUAGCUAGUUGGUGAGGUAAAGGCUCACCAAGGCUACGAUCUAUAGCUGGUCUGAGAGGAUGAUCAGCCACACUGGGACUGAGACACGGCCCAGACUCCUACGGGAGGCAGCAGUGGCGAAUCUUGCGCAAUGGGCGAAAGCCUGACGCAGCCAUGCCGCGUGAAUGAUGAAGGUCUUAGGAUUGUAAAAUUCUUUUACCAGGGACGAUAAUGACGGUACCUGGAGAAAAAGCCCCGGCUAACUUCGUGCCAGCAGCCGCGGUAACAC
rnacentral:rRNA from 1 species